AAAUAUCCUAAAGUCUUCCUUUCAGCAUGACAAUUUCUUUUCCCAAUUCAUUUGGCUGUAUAUUAUUCUAGUGUCUUGCUACUAAAAGCAGAGAUCAUUGACAGUAUUUGUUGGGACAGAUUUUAUCAGAAAAGCAGCGAAUUGAAGCAUCGCAUAGUCCGCCUACCGAGGACACUAUGCCUCCACCACCAUCGUAUGAGGAUCUCGGCCGUAGCUUUGCUUCUGAAACCUGUGAUGAAUUGACAGAGUUGAGGGACUCUUCUCUUUCUUAGGAGAGGUAUCUUUAUGCUAUUGUUGUUGUAUCCAAGUUUUAGUCUGUUCGACUCUUUAGUUUCUAGUAACUGUUUCUUUUCGCCUACCGCAGGUUAUUUACACCUUCCACGCUGUAACUGAUGUGGAGUUAAGUUUGUCAUUCGGGAAUUACGUUGUCGUCCGGAAGGUUCUGUCGUCUUUCCUGCUUGCAUGCUUUCAUCUUAUAUUCAUGUUCGGAUUUAUUUCUUUCGUAUUGAGGUUAAAUUUUCAUGUUCAAAGACGUUCACUCAGGUAUGUUCGUCAAUGCAUAGGCAUUAGCACACCACCGAGUGCAUUAGAAUAUGGAUUUCAGUUUUGGGUGCUGCAUGCAUUAAUGUAGUUUGUCUGGUUUUGGUUAUUGCUGCCGCUGAGCAUGAGUGGCUUUCUGUAGUUGCUGAGAGUUAUAUUGUGAGCAUAAUUCAUACAGCAGCUUUCAUAUACGGCACAUGUAGUCGGCAGCACUGCAUUUAGAAAGAGAAAGUUAUAUUUUCUUCACUGUUUAUUGAAAACUUAUAUGUUGCAUGUUCUGACUUUUAAAGUGAGUCGGCAUCAGAGUUUUUAUUUGAGAAAAAUCAGUUUUGUGUCCAUGUGUUUUCAAAGAAAAUAUUUUAGUUUUUAAUCACUGAUUUUUCAUUGUGCUUCAAUUAGAAAUCAAUUAUGAGAAUGUGCCUUGUGAUUUUCGUAAUUGGUUGAUUUCAAAAAAUCUUUACAUUUCAUACAUUCUGCAUGAUCACAUUAGGAUCUUGCAAAGUUCAAGGACACAGUGAUUGACUGUCGCGUUAGUGUCGUGCCACUUUCACUUGAAAGCUGAAGAGAGAUCGAGUAGCAAAGCUCAAUGAAAAAAAUUGCCUACUAGUAUGUGGGUCUAGUUAAUGAGUUUUGUAAGUCUUUCUAUACUCAUUUGUCCUGGCUUAAGAGUUUGAGGAUUUUCUCAGUGAUGAGUUUUACCUUGUUAAAUCCUACAUCAUGUGUACACAUGUUAUUUGUCUUUUUAAUUGCAAAUGUGUAGGAUAAUCUUUCACUUAUUUUCUUGUAGUGAACUCUAUCUUAGACAUUCAUCAACAUUUAGAGUUUACGACAGAGGACUUUGCUACCAUAUUAUCAGUGCAUUGAUUAAUUUGUAAAGCGCCCAUUUAUCCUAAUUAUAAAAUAUAUCCUAAUUAUAAAAUAUAAUCUGUACAAGACAUUAACAGUUUGGAUGUCAUGUAUGGCCACAUCCUUUAUUUUCAGAAUAAUGCUAUUCAUACCAUGUUUUUAUAUCAUAUUUAUAUACCACUUUAAGUGGCAUCUGAUGUAAACAACCACAUCAUUUGAAAAAUUUGCAAAACCCAAGGAAAGGAAAGAGAAAGACUCUUUGUAUACCAUAAUCGUCAUUUAAUUAACUAAUUUUUCUUAAUUAUUAGUUUAUUAAAUAAUGAACUAAAUUUAAAAAUCUGAUUAAUUCAAAUUAUGUGUCAGUUCACAUCACAUCAAAUGCCACCGAAAAUGGUAUGAAAAUGUUGUAUAAAAAUAUGGUAUGAAUAACAUUACUCUUAUUUCCACCAUUCUUAUCAACUGGAUGGGGAUAGAUUGUCUUUAUCUCACAAACCCAUAAUGUGGCAAUCGUCCAUUAGAAAGGUAAUGUACGUUUUGAAAAUCGUGGUAAAUAUUGAAUGAGUAAUGACGCCUCUAAAAAUAAAAUUUAGUUAUUUGAAAGAAUCUUUCAUAAAAUAAAGUAACGAAUAAUCAACAAAAGUAGCAGUACACCAAGUUGAAUCCUUUUCAACGUUGAAAUGAAAUAUGAAAGUAGAUCAAGUUUAUAUUAUUCAUCUACUUUUUAUUUUAUUUUAAUAAACGAUAUUAUCUACACUAAAGAGAUAGAGUUGGUUAAGCCUCACAAUGGACUAGCAAUAAUAUGGUUCAAAUUCACAUUUGACGAGAAUCAAACCAAGUGAAGAGAAAUAUCAUUAGACCGUAACAUUAUUCAUCAACUUUUAAAUUCAUCCACUUUUAAAUAAUAAACAAUCAAGAAAAACAUUGCACGCGGUCCCCUCUCGUCACUUACCACUAGUGCCAUCACUUACCUGAGCAAAAGAGAUAUUUCUAAUUGCUUGACCCAAACAAGCAUUGAGUUCAUCCAUCAAUAACAGGUCCACAUCUCAACCCAAAUAUAAUAACGUCAAAGGAGAGGGGAAAAUGAGAAGGAAACUCUGGAGGGUAGAGGGAAGGAAAAGGAGAAAAGGACAAAGGAGAAAAGGACAAAGGGAGAAGGGAAAAGUAGAAAGGGAAGGAGGACCACAGUAGAAAAUAUCGAUAAUAUCGGUGAAAUAUCGCCGAUAUUAUCGUUUUUUUGGGACCCCGAUAUUUUAGUAACUAUCCAACUUGUUUUCGGCAGAAUAUCGCGAUAUUAUCGAUAAUAUCGAUAAUAUCGCGAUAUUUUCGAAACUAUCGCGAUAUUUGGUAUGGACUCAUCGGAGAACACGGCCGGAGCAAAUAAUCCGAAACCCUAAAUCCCCAAAUGCUAAAUCAAAGCAAAUGAACUGAAUCUACAAUACAGGAUUCCGAGAAGAACGAUUUCAGUACAAAAUUCAACAUGUUUACAAGCCGAGAAGAACGAUUUCAGUACAAAAUUCAAAGCAAAUGAACCGAUUCCCUAAAUCCCCAAAUUCGGAUUCAAAGCAACUGAACUAAAUCCCUAAUUCCUAAAUCCCUAAAAUCUAUUUCAGUACAAAAAUCAAGCAACAUGCAGAUAAAUCGCAAUCUGUACAAAAAUAGAAACCCUAAUUCCUAAAUCCCUAAAAUCAAUUUCAGUACAACAAAGGUGCAACAUGCAGAAAAAUUGAAAUCUGUACAAAAAUUUAAAGUAAUAGAGGGGAAGAAGAGAAGUAGGAGCCUGGAACAUCGUCUUCCUCACGAAUCCAAGACGGCUGGGACAAGUUCGUGCUCCUCAGUGGUGUCGACGGCUUGGACUACGGAGACAGAGGGAGACACGGAGACACGGACGGUUAUGGAGUGGUGUCGACGGCUGGGUUUAGGGCGGGUGAGAUAGGAGGAGCAGAGGGAGACAGGGAGACACGGAGACACGGACGAGGAGGAUCGAGAUUUGAGAGAUGAUGUCUCUGUGUGUGUGUGGAAGAACUGGAGAAGGGGGAAGGGAGGGAGAAGACUGAGAACUUCUCGGUGAGAACGAAGGCUCAGACCGACCUCAGAGAGAAAAGAGAGAAGAGAGAGACUGAGAGGAUUCGAGAAUAUGGUAGUGGAGUGGGAAAUGAAAGAUCGAGAGAGAGACCUCCGUGUGUGGUGUACGUGUGUGGUGUGCGUGUGUGGUGUGGUGGGGGGGUCUCGAAGUGUGUGUGUGGUGGAGUGUGAGUUCUUCAGUCUUUUUGACUGUCUGAGUGAUGGUGUCUAAGAAAAAAAAAGCAUCCAAUGCUCCAAAUUAUUCAAAACCAAAUCAUUCCAAACCUAUGUCUACCUCUCUGAUCCAAUGAUCCAAAGAACUUUUUUGCAAUUUCAGAACAUGCACAACAAAUACUACUGCUUUAAUAAUGAAAGCGUGUGACAGUCUUUCACAUGCAAAACAGUGUCAAUGUCUGUUAUAUACUUACAUUCUUUCAUCAUCAGAGGCAUUCACCGAAUUUUAACUUACAUUCUUCUUCCCAUACCAUUUUCAAAACCAUUCCAGAUCCUUUCCAAAGCCAAGCAACACAAAGGCUUCCAUAUUUAAGGUAAGUUUACAAACUUAAAUUUAUAUUAUUGUAAUUUAUAUACAAAAACAAAUAAAUUUGUGUGCACUCGUAUGUUAAUUUUUUUAAGUAAUUACUUGCAUGUUAAUUAUGUUAAUUUUUGUAAGUAAUUAAGUAAUGUUAAUAUUAAUUGUUUUAAGUAAUUAAGUAAUGUUGUAUAAUUAUUCCCUAGGAUAAUUUUAAUAUGUUUAAUAUUAUUUAUUAUUUUAUUUCUCUUACCAUCUUCAUUAUCAAAUUGGAUUAUUAUUCAUUAAUAUUAGGUUUUUUUAUUAUCAAAUUGGAUUAUUAUUCUUUAAUAUUAGAUUUUUUUAUUAUCAAAUUGGAUUAUUAUUCUUUUAUAUUAGGUUUUUUUAUUAUCAAAUUGGAUUAUUAUUCUUUUAUAUUAGGAAUUUUUUUAUCAAAUUGGUGGAUUAUUCAUUAAAUUUGAUUAUUAUCAAAUUGGAUUAUUAUUCAUCACCAUGUUUUAUAUUAGGAUAAUUUUUUUAUCAAAUUGGUGGAUUAUUCAUUAAAUUGGAUUAUUAUCAAAUUUGGAAUAUUAUUCAUCACCAUGUUUUAUAUUAGGAUAAUUUUUUUAUCAAAUUGGAUUAUUUCAUUAAAUUGGAUUAUUAUCAAAUUGGAUUAUUAUUCAUCACCAUGUUUUAUAUUAGGAUAAUUUUUUUUAUCAAAUUGGUGGAUUAUUCAUUAAAUUGGAUUAUUAUCAAAUUGGAUUAUUAUUCAUCACCAUGUUUUAUAUUAGGAUAAUUUUUUUAUCAAAUUGGUGGAUUAUUCAUUAAAUUGGAUUAUUAUCAAAUUGGAUUAUUAUUUAUCAAAUUGGAUUAUUAUUCAUCACCAUGUUUUAAUUUAGGAUAAUUUUUUUAUCAAAUUGGUGGAUUAUUCAUUAAAUUGGAUUAUUAUCAAAUUGGAUUAUUAUUCAUCACCAUGUUUUAUAUUAGGAUUUUUUUUUAUCAAAUUGGAUUAUUAUUCAUUAAAUUGAAUUAUUAUCAAAUUGGAUUAUUAUUCAUUAAUAUUAGGUUUUAUUAUUCCAUAUUAUUUGUAUAAUUACUUAACUUUUUACAAUCAUUUUCUUUACUUUGUAUUUAAUUCUUCUGUAGAAUAACUUUAUUAUUUAGGUUCUCUUAUUUUUAUCAAAAAAUAAUUGUCUAAUUUUAAUGAAAAAUAAAUAUAGGUACAUUUAAUGUUAUAACCCUUACCCAAAAAAUAACCUAGUUUACUUUGGGCCAGGCUAAUCCCUUUGUGUUUUAAUGUAAGGCCCGAGUUUUUCUUUAAUUUUCUUAAGCCCAAGGUUUAUUCAACCCGUGAACCUCAUCUCCUUCCUCUCUCUUUUCUGAAAAGUCAUCUCUCUCUUUCUUUGUUUCUUCCCUCUCUCUCUCUAACUCUCACUCUCUAAAACCCGAGAGAAGAGAGCUCUCACCCUCCCACUUACCUUCACCACCAAGCCCUAUUUUCUACAUAUUCGGAGUCUGUGGGAUGCAAGGAUCACGAUGGUGGUCUUGCAUGUGAUAUCACUGCAGUGAGGACCUCGGCACCAUUAAAGUUGAGAGCUCCAUAGCUCUCAAAGCUUGAACCCAGGUGAACUAUGCCUUCUUCUCUAAAUUUCUGGGUUUAUGAAUGAUAUUUUAAUCUAUGUGAUUAUUAAGUUUAUCCCGUUAUUUCAAGAUUAAGGACGAAACCAUCGUGGGGGAAAGCUCACCCAAACUUUCCGGCGAACCCGUGACUCUCGAGGGAUUUUCCGAGCACACCGGGCCGUGUCACGGUGAAGCAAGGGUACAUUAAUACUCCUCUCUCUCCCCACUUCAUUUUGUUAUGUAGUUUGGACCUUGAGAUGCUCGUUCGUCGUCGACCGGAGCUAUAAUAGCUCCGGUGUUCUUCCCCGGUCAGCUCGCAAGCCUUCAGGCCGUUUAGGACACCCACGGGCCUUAGGCCCAUAUUGGUUCAGCCCUUUUUGCGUAUGGGUGGGUGUAAAUGUGCGAAUGUAUGCUGUGUGUGUGUAUGCAUGUUCGUGCGUAUGUAUGUGCAGUGUGGGUUCGGUGUGUGUCUGUGCGUGUUUGUCCAUGUGAGUGUGUGCGUUUGGUAAGUGUGCAGGCCGUGCAUGUGUGGGUGUAUGUGUAGUGCAUAUGUGCAGUGUGUGAAUAUGUAUAUGUGUGUGUGUGUGCUGGUGCGUAAGUAUAUGUAUGUGUGUGUGUUUAUAUAUAUAUAUAUAUAUGCAUUUGUGGGUGCAGCGCAUGCUAAUGCAUGCUGUGUGUGUUUAUAUAUGUAUCUAUAUAUAUAUAUAUAUAUAUAUAUAUAUGCAAGAGUGUGUGUGUGCAGUGCAUGCUUUGCAUGUAUGUGUGUGUGGGUGAGUAUGGGUUGGGCUCAAGCCCAAACCACCUUUUGAUCCUUACCUAUCCAAAUCCAAGGUCCAUUUCCAUUUCCUAGAAUUAUAUUGUUGGGUAGUUUGAUUAACUGUACGUUCUUGUACUUAGGGACACUUAUCGCGACGUUUCUGUCUUCGCUAGUGGCGCAGCUUUUGACGGAGUAUCUGUGAGUGGACCACCUUCGAAAAUUGCAUGUUUUAUUGAUAGAAUUGCAUAAUUUAAUAGCAUGCCUUACAGAAUUAUUUGAUUUGAGGAUUGAUGAAAUUAUGCUACGAAGUUGUAUUUUAGAGAUGAAUUAUGUUUUGUGCGUACCUAGUGAACACUAUGCCGCCUGGGGCGAGGAUCUGGUGUUGGCAUUGAGGCCGGGAGAAAUAAUCCCUAGCGAAAGGCUGAGGGACACGGAGACAGGCAUUGGGCCGGGAGGGAGAUAUCUCUGGCUACGGGCACAGAGACUGAGGUGCAGGCAUUGGGCCGGGAGUAUUGUUAUUCAGUGCACUCACUAGCAGCACAACUUAUGUUAUGCUUCCUGAUACGAUUUCUGAUAUGAUUUCUGAUAUGAUUUUAUGAGAUUGAUUUGCAGAGAGAUAUAUGAAUUGUUUUUAUGGCAUGCUAGUGGUUUUGAGAAACCUAUCACUUAUUAUUUAGUAGUUUUCAUUAUCUUAACUGUGGGGGUUAGUAUGUUCAUAACUAUUUUUGUACUACGUAUGUAUAUAAACUUGGUCCACUCACCCUUGUUUUGCGCCCCCAUUCAGGACUUAGGAUGAAGGCACAUAACCCCGGCAACAAGGUACUUCCGCAGCGGCAUCUUCGAGUCCUCUCGGGGUAGGACCCACUCAUUUGUUCAUUCAAUCUUAUCUUAAUUCUUAUUAGUGACUAGGUUUAGUUAUAUGCUCUGAACACGUUCCUAAAUUGUUAAUUCAUUGUUUUUAAAUUCAUAACCUGUAUUUAUUUCUUAUUCUUAGCUUUUGUAUCAAUUAAUGGCUUUCGUCACCCCCGGGUGUCGGCCAGCACGUGUCGGUCCUGGUAUUCGGGGAAUAUCAGGGUCGGGGCGUGUCAUUUAAGAUGUCAAGUAAACGUGAUCCAGCUUGGGAACAUGGAGACCCAAUAGACGGAAACAAACAUGGCACAAUUUGCAAAUAUUGUGGUCGGGUAAUGAAGAGUGGCGGAGUGACACGACUGAAGUAUCAUCUUAGUGGAUUAGAUCCAUCAAAAAAUGUCCAACGAUGCGAUAAUGUCCCCCCAGAAGUGAAGGCAUUCAUCAGCACAUUAUUAAAAAAUAAAAAACAGCAGAAGGAAAAGAUGACACAAGGAAUGGAAAAUAUUCGAGCUGAGCUACGGGGAGAAGUCUAUGGCCAAGCGGUUGACAGUGAUGAUGAUGACGAUGAGGACGAAUGUGAUGAUGACAUGGGACCUGAAGAACGACGCAGUUUGAAACAAGCAUUACGUGCCUCCAAACAGUCAGCAUGGGAAAGAGAACACCUUCAUAAAAUUCCUAAUAGGGGACAAGGUUCCGGGACAAGUGGUGGUGCACAAAUGAGACGGGGAGGCAGUCUUAGAGAAUCACAACCAACACCACCAAUAGCCCCAAGUUUAUAUAAGUCAUCCAACGCACGUCAAAAGAGUGUUUGGAGUUAUUUCAAGGGAGGUAAUGUGAAGGAGGGAAUGGGGCGUCUAAUUAGCAAGUUCUUUAUCUAUGAAAAUGUCCCUGCUGCGAAGGCUUCAUCACAUCAUUUCAAAAAUAUGGUAGUGGGAUGUCAACAGGCCGGUGUUGGAGUACAACCUCCCACUCCCUAUGAGAUAAGAAACAAAUAUUUGGAUAUGGAGUAUAAAGACAUUGGCGAGUAUGUUAACAAGUUGAGGUCAAAGUGGGAAACUAAUGGUUGCACAAUCAUGUGUGACGGAUGGACCGGCCCCCGACCAGAUUAUCUAUCAUCAACUUCAUGGUAUAUUCCAAGGGCAAGACAAUUUUUUUGAAGUCUGUUGAUGCUUCAGACCAUAUAAAGAAUUACAAAUAUAUUUACAAAUUAUUGAGGGAUGUAAUCAUGGAGGUGGGAGAGCAUAAUGUUGUCCAAGUCGUGACCGACAACGGUUCUGCAUUUGUCAAAGCUGGAAAAAAGUUAAUGAAGCAUCAUAAUGUGUUUUGGACAUCAUGUGCAACACAUUGUAUUGAUCUUAUGUUUGAGGCAAUGGGGAAGAGAGAGAAUGUUGCUACUGUGGUCAAAAGAGCUAGAACGAUCACUAAUUUAUAUUUACAAUCACGGUUGGUUGUUGGCAAAGAUGCGUGAAUUUUGCAGAGGAGAAAUUAUUCGUCCAGCUACCACUCGAUUCGCCACCAACUAUAUUGCAUUAAACAGCCUACUCAAGAAGAAAGCAGGGUUGAAGCAACUAUUCACCAGUGAUGAUUAGGCCAACCACAAUUUUAGCCGCUCAAAUACAGGUCGUUUGGUGGAAAGUAUAGUGCUUGAUCAUGCUUUUUGGAGUCAAACAGAACAUGUGUGUCAAGUGUUUGAACCUCUUUACAAAGUUUUACGGAUCGUUGACACAGAAGUGUAUCCCUACUAUGGGGGCUGUAUAUGAGUUGAUGCGUGUAGUGAAGGAUGAAUUGGAAAGAAAACAUGGUGCAAGGUGGGUCGUAAAAAUAAUUGAAGACCGAUGGUAUAAAACAUUAUACCACGAUUUGCAUGCAGCAGGUAUAAAUUAUGUCAUAAUUUGCAAUUCAUUUCUUUAGUUGCAUAAAUAUUAUUUAUCUUAUUAGAGUAUGUGUUUCUUUGAAACAGCAUAUUAUUUGAAUCCCCGAUACCAAUACAGACCCGGUGUUGGAGAUGAUGGUACCCUUAUACGUGCUGUACAUAAUGUAUACUCUAAAUUAGACCCUGCAUCACCAGCAGUUGGCCAAUUUGGAAAUGAGGUACACAAUUACUUAAAUUAUAAUAAUUACUUUGUUGGAUUAAACUAACACAAUUUAUUGUAUUCAGCUAACAUGGUUUAAAGAUGCAAGAAGAACAUUUGGAGAACCAACAUCAGUUGCUGCUCGAACAAAUAUGUCUCCUAGUGAGUAUAAACAUAUUUCACUAUAAGUUUUAUAAUAGAAUUUUUGUUGGAGUUAUUAGGCUUAUCAACAUUAUUUUUCAUUGUAGCUGAAUGGUGGAUCAUGUAUGGGACCGAUGCACCAACUGUGAGAAAGUUAGCAAUAAAAGUAUUAUCACAAACAGCUUCCUCAUCAGCUUGUGAAAGAAAUUGGAGCACAUUUGCACUCAUCCAUACAAAGCAAAGAAAUAAGUUGGCUCAUAGUAGCUUGGAAAAAUUAGUUUAUUGCUACUACAACAUGAAGCUUCAAAUUCGAGAUAAGGAAGCAAGAAUCGAUCAUGUCGACCGUGGUGACCCACUAGAUGUGUUUGAUAUUGUUGGUGAAGAUGAUGAUAUGGAGGGUAACCAACUUUUUCAAUGGAUUAGACCUCUUCAUUUAGAUGAUGAUGAAGGCAACCCAGCUCCCAGAGUUGCUGAAGAAGCACGUAAUGAAGGGAUAAAUGUAGAAAGAGUAUUAGAGGAGGAGGUGGGAUCUAGCAGCGCUGACUCUUUCGAAGAACUUUUGCACCCAAUGCCAAGCAACACUGGAAUUCCACCUUUUUCUAAUCCUACACAACCACAACAUCGUGCUGAUACUAAUGAUAGCUCUAGUACAAGAUCAGGAGACUCACCUACCACCGGAGGUGGGAAUGAUGAAGGAAAUAGUGGAGCUGGAGGUAGUGGAGCUGGAGGUAGUGGUGGUGGAUAUGGAAACUAUUAUGGACCACCACCUCCCGGAUAUAUGAGCCCCUUCACUGGUGAGGCAAACUUCACGCAUGCAACACAAGAUGAUGACCAUGGCAGUAGGCGGGCAAGACCAGGAAUUGGUGCCAUAGGGAAGGACUAUACUCGCAGAGAAAGAGGCAAAGGGAUUUUGUCAAGUCAAGAAGAUGACUCGUUAUCUAGAACUUCAGACUCUUUUGGAUUGGGAAGUAGUAACUAUGGUUAUACUCAUAACCAACCAUUUCCCUACCCUUCAUAUCCCAUUCCUGUUGGGAUGGAAUCGAGCGACUCAUGGAAUCAAUCCCAGCCUCAAUCUUCAAAUGAUUUUUCUUAUGGACAACCUCAACCAAUCUCGGAUCCAUAUGGGUGGCAUAUUAACAAUUACAUGCAAAACUAUUUUGGGGAUUUAUCAUUUGAUAACUACUCUUCACAAUACACUCAUUCUACACAUAGAGAUGAUGAAGAUAGUGACAAAUUUGAACCUCAUAGGAACUCUAUGUGGUACUAAAGUGUAAAAUAUUGUACUAAUUCAUUAUAUAUAAAUGAUUAUGGUGUGUUUAGACUUCUUUCAUUAAUUACUACAUAUUUUCUACACUCAUAAUGUUUGUCAGAUCGCUAUAUAAUCAACUUGAUAAUGUUAAAUCCAUCAUGCAAUGCAUUUCCUUCCAAUUUUUUGUGAUAAACUAAUAGAUAAUUGACUAAAUAAACAUCCUACAAAGUUUCAAUACAAAUUUCCAAGUUUUUCUUACAAUUUCCGUGGUUUCCAUGUAAUUUUUAUCGAUAUCGAUAUUUUACCGAUAUUUCCAUCGAUAUUUCCGUGUUUUCGGACUACCGAUAUUUCCGAUAUCACCGAUAUUUUCUUCCUUGAGGAGGACAAUGAGAGGAAAUUUCGGAGAAUAGAGAAAAGGAGAAGGGAAAAGUAGAAAAGGAGAAGAGAAGGGAUAAGGGGAAGGAAGCUUAGGAGGGUAGGCAGACGAAAAGAGGGAAAUGCAUAAAAAUAAAAAAUAAAAAAGGAAAGUUGACUUCAUCAUUAUGUCUCCUAGCGGAAAGGAGCAAUCACAUUGUAAAUUAUAUUUCGUAUAAUGAGAAAUUAGUAUUCCUACUCGAGGAUAUAGACACAACUUGUCGAAUCUCGUUACUAUACAGCAAGUCUAUAAUUGCACAACAAUUUGAUUAACCACCUUAAGUUCAUCCAUAUGUACUAAGAUUCAAGUUUUUCCAAACUUUCCUUAUGAAACUAACUGAACAUUACAAGUGCCUCAUUAUUAUGCGGUUCGAUCAAGUUUUAAUUUUUGUCUCAUAACCACAUUAUCUUUAGGACAAUAAUCUUGUGGUUGAAUAUAAAAACCUUCGACAUGGUGAUCAAUGGCGGAGCCAAGUUAAGGGCUGCCCUGGGCUGCAGCCUAGGUAGCUUGUGGUGAAAAAUAAAAUUUUACAUGUAAAUUAGAUUGAUUUUCGAAUGUAGUCCACCAAAUAUUUAGUCGCUAAUUCAAAUUCUCUAGGUUUAACUAUAUAAAAUUAUAUAAUACACUUUGCAAACCAUCUCUUUUUCUUACAUUAUUUUUCUCAUCGCUUCUUGUACAUGUACAAAUUUGGAUUUGUUUAAUUUUAACACGUUUUUGGCUCACCUUGUGAAUUUUUUUAAGCUAACUGAUACUAUAAGAAAUAGGGUAUCAAGUUUCUUUAUUUAAAAAGAUUUAAAAUUUUAAACUAGCCCACCCGGUAAAACAUUCCUAACUCCGCUAUUGAUGGUGAUAUUGGAAACACUAGUUGGUGGGUUGAUUGGUAGAAAUGGUUCCAACAAUUUAAAGAUGAGAAAUGAGUAUUGAGCAAUGAUCAAAAUGUGUUGUACUUUAUCAGAAAAGAUCUUUGUGCAAUCAAAAGUGCAUUUUAUCACAAAAAGGUAACAACGAUCAAUAUAAUUGUUAUUUAUAAAAUCACACAUAAAAUAAGAAGUAAUCUUUUCUUUUUCUUUUCAUCUCUGCCACUAUGGGCCGACCAUGACUUAAAGAAACGCUUUUUGGGUCAAUGGAUGGGAACGACCCAUUUUAUAAUAUUGUUUGUAAAUUUUUCUGGAAGUAGAUGGAAAUGACCGAAGUACAUAUUUCCCCUGCUCACAGACAUUUGCAUUGCACCUAGCAAACACCAGUUUUUUUGUUUGAACAUCGAUCCACAUCAACGUUUAAUUCAAGAUAAAGAAAGGUAAUCGCAACACGACGGCGGCGACGUGGCGGUCAUUUAACGGAAAAUAACAGACAAAUCAGCCUCCAGAUCAAGUCUUGAAGCACAACUCUGAAAAAUCGAGACUACCUACAUCUGAGCUCCGACCAACCGCUGAUGGAGGCAAUCAGGAAGCUCAGAGAUCAGGUCGCCAAGCAACAGCAGGUACUCUCUCUCUCUUGUUUGAUUCCGAAUUUGUAUUUCUCAAUGGAAUUUUAUAUGAACAUAAUCUGCGUUGAUUGCGAGAUACUGAGAUUGCUUAAUGAAAUAAUAUUUAUAUAAUUGUUCGAGUUGAAUUGGAUCGAUUCGAAUUCGAAUAGAAUUUCACUAUUUCUGAGCUGUGUUGGAGUGCAGUGUUGCCGAAUUUCUGAAAUUUUGAGCUAGGUGUUGCUAAUUACUUAUCCAUUUUUGGAUUUAAUUGGAUGCUUAAUUUUUACAUUUUCGGAAAACUUCAAGCAAAAAUGGUAUAUGAUUUUUAUCAUAAAAAGAGUUAGUCGAAGCUUUAUCGAGUUUGCUUUUGAUUAUUUUAUCAUAAAAAGAUGAGCAACGAUCUAUAUAAUUUUUCUGGAAGUUGAUGGAAAUGACCCAAUUACAUAUUUCCCCUCCUCACAGACAUUUGCAUUGCACCUAGCAAACACCAGUUUUUUUGUUUGAACAUCGAUCCACAUCAAUGGCUCUUGUGAGAACAUCUCCAGGAACCUCCUCUGAUUCCAACACUUUUCGGAGUUCUCGCUACGACGUGUUCUUGAGCUUCAGAGGGGAAGAAACUCGCAAGACUUUUACCGACCACCUCUACACAGCCUUGAACAACGCAGGAUUUCUUACGUUCCGAGACGACGAUGAACUUGAGAGAGGAGAAGAUAUAAAGCCAGGACUGCAGAAAGCGAUCCAGCAGUCACGAACUUCUGUUGUCGUGUUUUCGAAAGAUUACGCGUCAUCCAGUUGGUGUCUUGAUGAGCUUGUGCUGAUCCUUGAACGCAAGAGGACCACCUCGGACCAUGUAGUUUUACCAGUCUUCUACGAUGUCGAUCCGUCCCACGUGAGGAAGCAGACAGGAAGUGUUGGAAAAGCAUUUGCUAGAAGCCAGAAAAAUCAGUCGCCGGAAAAGGUGCAGGGAUGGAGGAAGGCACUUGCAGAGAUUGCAGACCUAGCAGGCAUGGUCUUACAAAAUCAAGCUGAUGGGUAACUUUCAUUAUCUCCAUUUCUCAUCUCUUUCCUGGGUGAAUUUGAUGUAUGAUCCGUAGUGACCUAGAUUUUUAUAUGUUUAUUAAUUCAAUCUCAGUAGUGAAUAAUAAUCUCAAUUUAGGUCAACUUAAAGAAAUCACACUCAACUCAACUUAAGGAUUAGUCAUUUUCCAUGUUAAUCUACUGGUUUCAGUUGCUUAAAUUUUUUUGAAAGCUGGUGUGGAAAAAAGUUAGGAUGUGAUAUGUCAUGUAUUUGUCUAUAGUUCGUAUAAAUUAUGCGCACUAUUCCUUUCUUUUUUUUCAAUUUAAUUUUGUCAGCAGUCCUUUUUUUUUUCUUAUUUAAAUAAAGGCAAUCAACAUAUGUUUGAAGGGAAUUUUAACGAAAAACCACAUUUUUACACUAAAAAGUCAAUCCUGAUACUAUUCACUUUACCCUUUAUUUUGUAAUUAUCUAAUUUUCCCAAUUCAUUUUUUGUUUUGUUUGCAAAUUCUUAGGUACGAGUCAACGUUUAUCAAAAACAUUAUUAAAGUGAUAGGAGACAAGUUAAGUCGCACGCCAUUGAGUGUUGAACCAAAAUUGAUUGGAAUUCAAUCUCAAGCCGAACACAUCAAUUUGUGGUUCCAAGAUGGAUCAAGUGAUGUUGGUAUAUUUGUUGUGUAUGGCAUGUCUGGAAUCGGGAAGACAACCAUUGCAAAACAUGUUUACAAUUCAAACUUUGGAAGCUUUCAAGGAAGUAGUUUCAUUGAAAAUAUCAAGGAAACAGCAGAUCGACCAAAUGGCUUAGUUCAAAUACAAAUGCAACUUCUUUGUGAUAUUUUGAACGGCAGAGAAGUGAAAAUACACAGUGUUAGUGAGGGAAUAAUUAAGAUUGAAAGGGCCAUAAGCUCUAAAAGAGUUCUACUUGUUCUUGAUGAUGUUGACCAUAUGGACCAAUUAGAUGCAAUCCUAACGAUGAAAGAUCAGUUUUAUCCUGGAAGUAAGAUACUAAUAACAACUAGGUGUGAAAGGUUGUUAAAGGCAGAUCAAGUUACCGAGGUGCACAGAGUUCAAACUUUGGAUGACAAUGAAUCAUUAAAGCUUUUCAGUUGGCAUGCUUUUGGCCAGGACCAUCCCAUAGAAGAAUACAUGGAGCACUCAAAACAGCUAGUGCAACAUAGCGGCGGACUUCCAUUAGCUCUAAAAGUUUUGGGUUCUUCUUUAUCAGGAGGACGUAUAGGUGUAUGGGAAAGUGCAUUGGAGAAGCUAAAAGUUAUUCCUGAUGGUGAAAUCAUGAGUAAACUAAGAAUAAGCUAUGAAAGUUUAAAAGAUGACCAUGACCGGAAAUUAUUCCUCCACAUUGCUUGUUUCCUAAUAGGAAGGAACAAAAGUUACAUUGUUAGAAUAUUCGAUGGAUGUGAUUUCUAUACAAUCAUUGGCAUUCAAAAUCUCAUUGAUAGAUGCUUGGUGACACUUGAUGAAUACGGCAAGGUGAACAUGCAUGACUUGAUUCGUGCUAUGGGAAGAGAAAUUGUUCGCCAAGAAUCAGAAGAGCCUGAGAAACGUAGUAGAUUAUGGCGCCAUAAGGAUUCUUUCCAAGUAUUGAGGAAAAAGAAUGUAAGAAACAUGUCUUUUAUGUCUAUAUAUGUAUUUCUUCUUGUGAAAAUUACGCAUAUUAAUGUCUCUAUUGUUUCCUUUAGGGUACAAAAAAAAUCCAAGGUCUUUUCCUGGAUAUGCGUAACCAUCCUGCAAACAAUCCAAUAAACACAAAUGAGAUAGUCUUGGAAACCAAUGCAUUUGCAAGGAUGCGCAAUUUACAACUACUCCAUCUUAGUCAUGUACGAUUGGAUGGAUGUUAUGUAGAUUUCCCUACAGGAUUAAGAUGGUUGUGUUGGCUUGAAUUUCCUUUGGAUUCUAUACCAAUUGAUUUUCCUUUGGAGAACGUAAUUGUUCUUGAAAUGCAAUACAGUAGCUUGAGACAAGUAUGCAAAGGAACAAAAGUAUGUUACUCUAUGCAUUUCAAUUCAUUUUCCUUAUUUUGUUAGUUUUUUAUUUGUGGACUAACUCCAUGUGUUAAAAUGAACUAUUAUGUUUUCUUUAAUUCGAUAACUAAUUUCUUAUGUUAGACACUUAUUUCAUUGUUCUUUUUUUUUCUUUUUUCUUUUUCCUUUGUUUCCACAGUUUCUUCCAUCGUUGAAGAUCCUUGACGUCAGCCAUUCUCAUGGCCUUAGUGAAACCAUUGACUUCUCACUUUCCCCCAAUCUAGAGGAACUGAUUCUUGUAGAUUGCACAAGCCUGAAGAAUGUUCAUGAAUCCAUUGGAAACCUGGAGAGACUCGUGUACUUGAAUUUGAAGGAUUGCAAGAAUCUUAGGAUGCUUCCGAAGAACAUGUGCAUGCUUAAAUCACUUGAAACACUCAUUUUAUCUGGUUGCUUAAAUCUUGAUGAGUUUCCAGUGGAGAUGAUGAAGAAGUUGGAGUCUCUGAAAGUUCUUGAGACGGAUGGAAUUCCAAUAGGUGAAUUGUGGCCAAAAAGAAGUUCAACUAUCUUGAGUUCUUUUCCGUGCUCUUUGGUAGAGUUAAGUCUGAAGGGGUGCAAUCUUUCUGAUGAUGUCUUUUCUACGGAUUUAAGUGCUCUAUCCUACUUGCGAAGACUACAUUUGGAUGCGAAUCCAAUUUGCAGUCUGCCAGUUUUCAUCAAAGGUUUGAGGAGGAUCGAUGAACUCUCUUUCAAGGGUUGUGAUAGGCUCGAAUCGUUUGUGGGGUUGCCGGAAGUACACCAAAGGCUAAGUAUAAAAGAAUGCAUAUCAUUAAAAAAAAUAACUUUUCAUUCCCCUGGGCAACAUUAUCUAACACGUGUAUUUUGCAAUGAGAACCGGAAUCUUGUUGAGUGUGAGUGCUAUUACAAGUUAGAGCCUAUUGAUAGAGUUGAUGUGGAAAUGAUCAAACUUUUGGGCUUGUGCAACUUGGAAUCCAUGCCAGCUGUUCGAAUGCGUCAUCCACUCACAAACAGGGAUCCAAAAGAGGUCCCCGUCCAGGUGCGCCUCUCUUUCUCUCUCUCUCGUAAGUCUUAAAUAUAUAAUGGGAAAGAAAUGACUGAGUAAUGUUGUGAUGACUGUGGCAAAUACAUAGGGACUGUAUCAACAUGGUAUAUUCAGCACCUUUUUUGUUGGGAAUGAGGUUCCAGGCCUGUUCAGCUAUAAAAGUACCAAGUCUUCGAUAUCUUUUAUUGUCCCUUUACUACUUGCUAGUCACAGAAUUCGAGGCUUGAACAUCUUUGCUACCUAUGCAAAGGAAAAUUCAAAUAAUUAUUCUACUAGAAGUGUUAUUAGUCCAAUAAUGAUCAAAGUGAGAAACAAGAGUAAGGGUCUGAAGUGGAUCUAUAACCCAGAGUUCUACGGAAUUCCAAGUGACGUAGAAGAUAUGAUAUGGUUGAGCCAUUGGAAGAUGGAGAAUAAAACAAUAUUACAAUGUGGAGAUGAAGUGGUGGUUUCGGUAAUAACCGGACCACGUGACAUGUUUUGGGUAAAGGAGUUUGGUGUCGAGCUUGUGCAAGAGCACCAAGACAAGAUGAGUACCCAACACAACACCAAAUCCGAUCCUAAUUAUCCAUUUGUUAUCGGUGGAGAUUUGAAGAUGUUUGAGCGCAGACCGGGAAUAUACUUCCUUGGCGAUUAUGUUAUAGAAGAUAUUGAUGACAUUGAUAUCCUCACCAUGGACUCUGAUGAAGAAGACACAAGUAUGUUGUGUUGUUGUAUUGCAUUGAAUUAUACUUCAUUCAAACACUUCCAGGUGUGUCCAUAUUCAUUUCAAAAACGUUUCCAAUAAAUUUUAUGUUAUUUGUAUGUUUUUCAGACAAAGAAGGGCAAGAGGAUGAAUCUGAUUACACAAUUGCAAAGACGAGGGCUGCUAGCAAUAACUGCAGCCUGAGAGGCUGGAAGGUGCGCCUCACAACUGUCGGCUUCUUUUUUGCGCUUGCUCUAGUAGGUUGGUCCUCCAUCUCCCAAAAAAAGAAGCGACACUCGUCCACAAGCGCAACAUGAGUUUGUAAUUUGACUUCAAAUGUGCUUGCUCUAGUAGCUAAGCACUCUUAACCGCUUGAGAUAUAAAAGCCCAUUGCAACUAGAUACUGAACUUCAAAUGUGUUCAACGCCAUCAAAUAUAGCAUAAAAUACAUCCAGCAUUAGGUUCCAAGCCCACUAUUGAAAAUCAUGUUCAUCCACUCUACACAUCCAUAGCAGCAAACUAACUAGGAUACCAGGUGGGGAGGAUACAAUCAUUAACAAUUUCAAAAGCUUUAAAUGCAAUCCGAAUACAUGGCAAGUAGGGGUAAGCAUGUGAACAGAAAAUCAGUGAACAUAAUCAAAUCCAAUAAGUCAAUUUUGGCCUAGAUUGAAAUGAAAAAAACAAGGAAAUGCUUUGUGUAUCGAUUUGUUUAUGAAGGAAAUAAAAGCUAUUUCAUGGAAAUAAAACCUGUGGUUACCUUUGUCUUCCUCUGCCAUUUGUCUAUCGAUUUGUUUAUGAAAGAGGCUAUUCUACAAGAUACAGCAUGACAGGUCUUAGUUGGACCAAGUAAACGGCAUGGAAAUGCUUUCUGAAGCAAGAAUCUGAACUCAAGAGCUUUGUGCCAGAGAGACUUCAGAAAAAUGAAAAAAAAAACAUAGAAUACGGGUAAGAAUAAAUAUCGAUCAGACAAUAAUCACGUAUAAAUCAUUUUUUUCAACUUUAAAGUGUGGCUUAAAAAGAAGCUUUAAACAACUAGCAAUAAUUUCAUAUUGAAAAAUAAAACCUAUUUCAUGGAUAUUACAAGAGCCAUUAUUUUGAAAAACACACCUUUUGGUUCUUCACUGCUUGACUUUUAAGAAGAUCUUCGUUCUUGUGACGAUUCAGAUUCUUUAAAAUAUCUCUGCAACGGAAUAAACAAAACCAAUCUAGGCCAAAAUUGACUUGUUCGAUUUGAUUAUGUUCACUGAUUUUUCUGUUCACAUGUUUACCCCUACUUGCCAUGUAGUUUUGGGGUGUUAGGACAUAGUGCUCUUCUCUUUACACACCAGUUUCAAUUUUAUUCUUCGUAAAUUAAGAGACCGUUUGAUAAUAAUUUCGUUUUCAGUUUAAAAAACAUAAAAAACUAAACGGAGUUUUAAAAUUUUGGCCUAAAAUUUUCACUUUUGGUUUUCAAUUUUAAAUUUUUUUCAAAUAACUGAAAACUAAAAAUAGUUACAAAAAGAAAUUUUCAGUUUUUAAUUUACAAAAAAAGUAAAAACUGAAAACUCUAAACUAUAGACUAAAAAUUAAAAAGUGAAAUCGAAAUGGGCUCUGAACAAAAUUGAAAAAAGACUGGGCUGAAUUACUGAAUUCAAAGCAGGGCUUAUUAACGUUACAAGGCCCAAUGGAUCUAUAUAAAUAUUUUUCGUUUUUUUUUUAACAAACGAUACGAUUUAUAUGGGCUUAAUCUUACAGUGGGCUAACAAUAAUGUUGUUCAAAUUUGUUUUUUGCAAGAAUCGAAUUUAAAACUUAUCACUUACAAAUGAAAAGAAAUACCACUAAACCGUAAUCUACUCGUUAUUUUAUUUUAUAUUUUAAGAAAAAAGAAAGAAAGCAAUGAAAAGCUGUACAUAAAAUAAAUACAAAAAGGGAUGAAAUGAAGAAGAGUGGGAGACUAACGUUUAAUUCAAGAUAAAGAAAGAAAGGUGAUCGCACCACGACGGCGGCGACGUGGCGGUCAUUUAACGGAAAAUAACAGACAAAUCAGCCUCCAGAUCAAGUCUUGAAGCACAACUCUGAAAAAUCGAGACUACCUACAACUGAGCUCCGACCAACCGUCGAUGGAUGCAAUCAGGAAGCUCAGAGAUCAGGUCGCCAAGCAACAGCAGGUACUCCCUCUCGUUUGAUUCCGAAUUUGUAUUUCUGUAUGGAUUUUGGUAUGAACAUAAUCUGCGUUGAUUGCGAGAUACUGAGAUUGCUUAAUGAAAUAAUAUGUAUAUAAUUGUUCGAGUUGAAUUGGAUCGAUUCGAAUUCGAAUAGAAUUUCACUAUUUCUGAGCUGUUUGGGGAUGUGUUGGAGUGCAAUGUUGAUGAAUUUCUGAAAUUUUGAGCUAGGUGUUGCUAAUUACUUAUCGAUUUUUUAUGUAAUUGGAUGCUUAAUUUUUACAUUUUCGGAAAACUUCAAGCGAAAAUGGCAUAUAAUUCAACGUUCCAUGCUUCAUUAAUGCAUAAGAGUUGGUCGAAGCUUGAUCGAGUUUGCUUUUGGUUAUUUUGUGAACACCGUCAGGCUGUGUUCAAACAAUUUUCUGGUGGCAUAUAUGGGGGAUCGGAUAAUGUUGCCUCGGAUGAAAAUGAAUUUCAACAGCAUCAGAAACUCGAGAAGCUGUACAUAUCAACUCGUGCUGCCAAGGUUGCUACUCUUAUUUUUGUCUGUGCUUUAAACGAGCAUCACGUUAGUUGUGUUACCUAUCGUUUUUUGCUUCUUCUUUAACAGCAUUACCAAAAGGAAAUUGUCCGCGGAGUGGAAGGUUACAUUGUGGCCGGCUCAAAGCACGUUGAAAUAGGUAUGUUGCUUGAAAUGCGUUGUCUUUUCUUGGGAGUUUGGAUAUGAAUUCAUGUUGGUUUUAUCAGUUGGUAUACAUAAUACUUUUUUAACAGGUACCAAGCUAUCAGAAGAUAGCAGGAAAUAUGGUUCUGAAAAGACUUGCACCAGUGGUAACACAUUGUCGAGAGCUGCACUAAGUUUUGGAAGAGCUCGGGCCCAAAUGGAAAAAGAGUGCGGAGUUCUACUUAAAGCCCUUGGCACACAGGUUUAAGUCAAAUUAUUACUAACAAUGGCUCAUUAAGUAAAAAUCAAAUAUUGCCAGGGCCGGCUUCAUACAAAUGGAAUUUCAACUGACUAAUUUUCGUGUGCAUUUGAUCAUUUCGAAAGAAAUUUACAGUAAAAAUUGUUUCCAUUUUCACGUGUGGUUCAAGAACUGGACUACUUUUUGUGUUAUUAUGCAUCAUAUGACAAACUGGUUCACCAUUUCUUUCUAUAGGUUUGCAUAAUAACUCUUUCUGUGCUUAUCAAUUUGCCUGUGUAGGUUGCAGAGCCUUUAAGAGCAAUGAUAGUGGGAGCGCCCUUGGAGGAUGCUCGACAUCUUGCUCAACGAUAUGCUAGAAUGCGGCAAGAAGCUGAAGCUCAGGUAUAUGCAGUUUCUUCUGUUUCCUACCAAUUUUAUACUAAAGUGAUUUUACAUGUUACAUGGUGAUCAUACAUUUCUCGGUUAACUUUUUUUGUUUUCUUUUAAAAGUGUUUGUUCAUUUUGGGACAAUCAUGCAUUGGUAUUCAUAGAGAACGCAAAAUCUUAAGAUGUUUAAUGUAACUUGUUGAGAUUGCUUCAUUACCUGAAGCUUUGUUGUAAUUUGGUUUUUGUUUUUUUUUUAUUAUUUGUCUAUAUAUACUAACUCGCACCGGGAUAGGCUAUAGAUGUUUCCAGACGCCAGGCCAAAGUACGGGAUUCAGCAGGUAAUGCUGACAUUAUCAUGAAACUAGAAGCUGCUGAAGCCAAGCUUCAGGAGCUGCAGUCUAGCGUUGCAAUACUGGGAAAAGAAGCUAGUGCAGCUAUGGCUGCUGUUGAAGGUCAACAACAAAGAUUGACUCUUCAGCGGCUUCUUGCGAUGGUAAAGGAUUGCCUCCCCUUUUUGUUUAAGUGUUAAGACCUUGGCCUGUUCUAGUUACAAGACUGAAAAGGAAAUUAAUUUUGUAAAUUUGUCAUUUUUCGUCCCCAUUCAAGGUGGAAGCAGAGCGCAACUAUCACCAGAACGUACUUCAGAUACUUGAUCAGCUUGAAGGCGAGGUAUGAAAUAUCCUAAAGUCUUCCUUUCAGCAAGACAAUUUCCUUUCCCAAAUCAUUUGGCUGUAAAUUAUUCUAGUGUCUUGCUACUUUAAGCAGAGAUCAUUGACACUAUUUGUUGGGACAGAUUUUGUCAGAAAAGCAGCGAAUUGAAGCAUCUCCUAGUCCACCUACAGAGGACUCUAUACCUCCACCACCAUCGUAUGAGGAUCUCAGCCGUAGCUUUGCUUCUGAAACCUAUGAUGAAUUGACAGAAUUGAGGGACUAUUUCUUAGGAGAGGUAUCUUUAUGCUAAU
rnacentral:lncRNA from 1 species